AAGAGUGGUAUUCAGUAGCCUGGAUUAUCUUUUAAAGGUUCCUGGAUGCAACAACAAAACAUCACUUAUUUGAUACAGCUGGUAUCUUCAGCAACUAGAAGCAGAAGCAAAGAAACGAACAAUCAUUAAGGAAAGUUUCAGUCCAUCUAUUAUCCAAAAUGGGAGUUUUUAUUCUCUUGACGUUGCUUCUUUCAAUGUUUUACUUUGCUUCAAUCAAAUCAGACGAGAGUCAAAGUACAAGCAAAUCCGUUUUCGAAGAAGUGCACAACCCAACACAAAUAAAAACAAGCAUGUUUCAUAAGACCUUCCAUCAAUGCAGCAUGGAAAAGACAUGUUAUUAUGUUGUUAAGGAUGUUAAGAACCACUAUUUUUAUAAAUUUAAAGAUGAGCAAGAUAUCCCGGCCGAAAGAUCCAACCUCAUUAUUUGGUCAAAGAAACGAGCAAGAAGAGGUGUUCAAGAAAAUAUCGCUUAUAAGAAGCUAUCCUCGCAAUCAUCCACUCAUAUUUUUGAAGAACAUCAAUUUGUUGCUAGCUUUGGAAAUGACGGUAACAGAACUGGGGAUGUGUUUAGUUGCAGUCUCACAAAACUUGACAUAGUACCCUGGUGGCAAGUGGAUCUUACAAGGCAAGCUGCAGUCACAAGUAUCCAAAUAAAAAACGGCGCAACUUGGGGUCAAUUGAAAAUCAAUCCAUUCGAUGUCAGUGUUGGGGAUGAUAGUUCAAAUGGCGGACGAAACAAUGCACUGUGUGUGAAAGAUGGAAGGUUGGAAAUCGGUGAAUUAAAAAAGUUCGAUUGUCCACAGGUCCUGAUGGGUCGUUACGUCAGUAUCUUUUUGAACAGAAAUGAAUUUCUUCAAGUAUGCGAGGUUGAGGUUUACGAACUUCAAGCGGAGUGGUUAGCGUAAAAUAUUGCGAUUGGCAGCUUUCAGGUUCCUUAAUUAUUGCAACUUAUCAAUAAAUAGAAAAAGAAGCAAGAUUGUAUUGAAUUUUUUCUCUUCGAAGAAAUUUCAUUUGCUUUUAGCAAAUAAAAACAUACUAGCCUAGAAGUGUGGCCUAGGAUCAAAUUGCAUAUUACAUGGAUUGCAUACUAGUUGCAAAAACAUAUUCCACUCAGUUAUAUACUUACAUAUAUAUGGAAGCAAACCUAGGUCAUUGCUGUAAAAACUGCGCCAGUCACAAAUUUGCCCAAAAUUGGGCCUGGCCUAAAAUGUAUCAAUUUUUGGGUCUGGCAUUUUGACGCAGUUGAUUUUAUUCAUCAAAGAGUAUGUUCUCGUCAGUCAAUCAUCGUUUCGAUUUUCUCGCUGUAAUUUUAUUUGCCCCGAGUACCUGAGAGUACUACCCUUUUUGAUUCUAUUUGAAUGUUAAGUUUUCAGCAAUGAGAUGCCCUUAUUUCUUCAAAUAGUUCAGCACGUUUUAAUAGAACCUUAGUUUGUAUAAGCAGAUUUUACGGGCAAGACCGCCGAGAGGUUUCGGAUGCCUUGGGGCAAAGCCAAAAAAAGCCCCCUGCGAGCGGAAGGAACAUAAAUUUUUGAGACCACGCCCUUUAGAUCAUCUUAAAAUGCAUUUCAAAAUAUUUCUUGCAAUCGUUUCUUGCAAUCGUUUAGAAAGCUUUACUAUUUUUAGGCCUACGUUUGCUACAUUUUAUUAAUUGCAUUCUUAAAAUGGAGUAGAUCACUUUAUGAGGACUCCUAGAUCUCAAAGCCCUGGGGCACUUUGCCCCCUUACGCCUCCUCUCGUCAGCCCUGCUCACAGGGGCUUCCAGUCCCUCCAGGAUCAUUGUGCAGUGUUUUUCAGCAAACAUUAACCCUUCCACAAACGUUAGGUGGGAAUUAGAUGGCCUUGGAUAUUCCGACACUUGUCUGCUAGGUUCUAGCACCCCGGCUGCCGACAGGGAGUCAUUUGAAAUUUUCGGGGCACAUUUGCCCACCCCGACUCCCAUAUUCCUGCCUGUACCUAUUUUGAAUUGCUGAAGGCUUUGUGUGUGAUACGUUUUCGGCCUUAUCCUAUCUCUUCGCCACUGUUUGCAAAAGCUAUUGCUGUCGGAACUUUGAAAACAAAAUCCGAAAAACUUUACUUUUCGAAAAUUUGCUGACAAUAAUUUUCUAGGGGAGCCGCCCUCCUUCCCCCCCUCUCGCACCCCUUCUCCCCGCUAGUGACGGCCCUGUAUACACUGUCUUUUGCUUAAAAUGAAUUGUCACGUAUAAAAAUCUUGCAACUUGUAACAAUAUAUGAUUGUUAUAUUUCAUUACACAGCUUGAUGUAACAUGAGCACAAGUAUAUGUAACUGUAUUAUGAUGAAACUACACUGGUUAGCUAUAGCAGCUAUCUCGUUUUCGUGUGGUUAUUCUACCUAAGCAGUUCUGCAAGGCUGAGAUCGUGUAGUUUCAAAGUAAACAGUCCUGUUCUUAUGGGAAAAGCCAAACAAUUAUGAAAAACAUGGUCUAUCAGCGUGAACUUCAAGGCCAAUGACCUUUCUUUGUUACGAAGUAUACUAUUACCCUAUGAACGACACCGUUAGUAGGAAAAUCAGGCGCGGAUCUAGCCAAAAUUUUGUCUGGUUUAGGGUUGGUUUACCCCGUCACGGCCCUUUGUGUUAUUGGUCUAUAAAUGCUGCUAAAAGAUUCUAAUAAGAUUAGUAAAAUGUUAAUAAUUUGCACACACUUUAAAAAAGAUGUCACAAUUUAGCUCCGCUCAGCAUGGCUUUGAUCGAAGGACAAAUCACUCUUGUAACUGGUGUACGAGAUUAAUAAUCACUAGUGAUUGACUUGUGAUUAAAUCAAUUUUGUGUGUGAUUAUUUUGAUUUUCAGUGAUAAAAGUGAUUAAUUUUUUUAUCAAUUUUUGAUUUUAUAGAAACUGAAUCAUAGAUUCAAAAGUGCUUUCAAAUAAUUUCAUGCUUAAUAAACGUUGUCAACAAUCUUGCAACAUACUAUAUAAAAUUUAAAAAUUAGCAGUUCAGCACAGGGAUGGAUCCAGAAAAAAAUUUGACCGUUGCAGAUUUGCAAACGAAAAAGGUGCAAAAGUUUAAUAACAUUUACAACUAAAAACAGAGCUAGCUAUUUUUCUGAGCAGCAGCAUAAGCAAGAUAUUAAAUCAAUAUUAUAAGCUUUCUAGAUCAUGGGUGCAGGGUGACAGUAGCCUGAAGUGAAGAACGGUGAAAAGAUGUUGAUCACUAUGAACGAGACAUUAAGACAAAUGCAUGUGCUCUUUUCUGUGGGCCAUCAACUUUCAUCAUAAAAAUUUGAAUAUGCAUCAAAAAAGCUAUCUUUCCUGAACAAUAGCACUAGCAACAUGCAUGCAAACAGCCCGGAAUGAAAAAACAGUGAACAGUUAUUAAACACCUUGUGAAAGACAUUAAGACAAAUGCAUGUGCCCUGUUCUCUGCCCUUGCAAGUGAUGUCACUAUUGGGAAAUUAUACUGUCAUUCCAGACAAAUUUACCAGAAUGAAAAAUUACAAGUUCCAGAAAUA